GGGCAGCAGAGAGAGAGAGGUCAGCAGAGAGAGAGAGAGGGCAGCAGAGAGAGAGAGGGGGGCAGCAGAGAGAGAGAGAGAGGUCAGCAGAGAGAGAGAGAGAGGGAGGGCAGCAGAGAGUGAGAGAGGGAGGGCAGCAGAGAGACAGAGAGGGAGGGCAGCAGAGAGAGAGAGGAGGGCAGCAGAGAGAGAAUGGGGCAGCAGAGAGAGAGGGGGCAGUAGAGGGAGAAGUGGGGGUUGCAGUAGAGAAAGGGAGAGGGCAUUAUAGAGAGGGAGAGAGGGGGCAGCAGAGAGAGAGGGGGCAGUAGAGAUAGGGAGAGGGCAGCAUAGAGAGGGAGAGAGAGGGGCAGCAUAGAGAGAGGGGGCAGCAUAGAGAGGGAGAGAGGGCAGCAGAGAGAGAGAGGACAGCAGAGAGAGAGAAGGGCAGCAGAGAGAGAGAGGGGGUAGCAGAGAGAGAGAGGGGGCAGUAGAGAGAGAGAGGGGGCAGCAGAGAGAGAGAGGGGGCAGUAGAGAAUGGGAGAGAGCAGUAUAGAGAGGGAGAGAGAGCAGCAUAGAGAGGGAGAGGGCAGCAGAGAGAGGGAGAGAGAGGGCAGCAGAGAAAGAGGGGGAGCAGAGAGAGAGGGGGCCGCAUAGAGAGAGGGGGCAGCAGAGAGAGAGAGAGAGGGGGGGCAGCAUAGAGGGAGAGAGGGGCAGUAGAGAAAGGAGAGAGAGAGGGGGCAGUAGAAGGAGAGAGGGG
ensembl:lncRNA